rnacentral:rRNA from 1 species
UACGGAGGGAGCUAGCGUUAUUCGGAAUUACUGGGCGUAAAGCGCACGUAGGCGGCUUUGUAAGUAAGAGGUGAAAGCCCAGAGCUCAACUCUGGAAUUGCCUUUUAGACUGCAUCGCUUGAAUCAUGGAGAGGUCAGUGGAAUUCCGAGUGUAGAGGUGAAAUUCGUAGAUAUUCGGAAGAACACCAGUGGCGAAGGCGGCUGACUGGACAUGUAUUAACGCUGAAGUGCGAAAGCGUGGGGAGCAAACAGG